GCCAGAAAGAAUUGUGUAAGUCUUAAGGGAAGGGCCAAUUUUUUUUGUGAAUAACAAUUAGGUCAAAAGAAAUGUAAAAAAUGAAUUAUGACACAGAAGAGUUUGAUAGUAAAAUGAUAACUACCGUGACAGCAAGAUCGGGAAGACGUGCAAGGUUAGCUUCAAUAUUAUAAGUUAUGGGGGAGGGGAGGGUCAGAAAAAAUUGUGCAAGUAUUUAGGGGAGGGCCAAUAUACAGGCCAAAAAUAAAAUGCACCAGCCCUCCCCUCCCCCCUCUAAUUUUUGACCUGUCCCUUAUUUUCAAGAGGAAAAGUGACACCUCAGCUUUGAACAUUUUGUCGAGUGAUGAGAUCGGCUGACUGACCACAGGAAGCCCAUAAGCAUYAUUUUUUUUCAUUUAAAAAUCCGCUGUCAACCACUGACAGUCGGCUCAUAAAACAUGGCGGAUAGCUUGGGGAAGAAGUUCCACGAUGCCGAUGUCUGAAUUAUUUGCUUCUCUAGGAAGCAACCCUUACUUUUCUGCAGGAUUUGGUCUAGUUGGAGUCGGUGCUGUACUAGCGGGCGUAAGAAAGGGAGGUAUUCAAGCUCUAGUCGCUCUACGACGCUACGCUCUUAUUACGUUGGAAGUCCCUUCAAAGGACAAAAGUUAUCAUUGGGUGUUACAAUGGAUCACAGCACAAGCAAACAGAGCUCAGCAUAUCAGUGUAGAGACGACAUUCAAACAGCAUGACACUGGUAGAAUCACUACCACCUAUGAUUUCGUUCCAAGCCCGGGGACACACUUUUUCUAUUACAAGAGGAACUGGAUUCGUGUUGAACGCACCAGAGAAAAAAUGGUGGACUUAACUACUGGUGCUCCUUGGGAAACGGUGACGUUGACUGCGCUCGGGAGAGACAAAAAAAUAUUUAAUGAUCUACUAAAUGAAGCUAAAACCAUGGCUUUGGCUAGGACGGAGGGAAAGACUUUGAUGUAUAUCCCAAUGGGAGCUGAGUGGAGGCAGUUUGGCUUCCCCAGGAGAAAACGACCUCUGGAUUCAGUUAUCCUUGACGAGGGGUUGAGUGAGAAGAUACUGAAUGAUGUCAAAGACUUUAAUACUAAUUCUAAGUGGUACACGGAUAGAGGGAUCCCAUACAGAAGAGGAUACCUAUUGUAUGGUCCACCUGGCUGCGGAAAGAGCAGUUUUAUUCAAGCCCUUGCUGGUGAGUUGGACUACAGUAUCUGUGUAAUGAACCUGAGUGACCGCAGUCUGUCAGAUGACAGGCUCAACCAUUUGAUGAGCGUCGCUCCACAACAAAGCAUCAUCUUACUGGAGGAUAUUGAUGCAGCAUUUGUCAAGAAAGACGAUUCAAUGGAUGGGAGCAAAAGAGAAAAUGUGUAUAUGAAUCGGGUCACCUUCAGUGGAUUGUUGAAUACUCUUGAUGGUGUAGCAUCCACCGAGGAACGCAUUGUUUUUAUGACAACCAAUCACAUUGAUAGACUUGAUCCAGCCCUGAUCAGACCUGGUAGGGUGGAUCUUCAACUAGAAAUUAGCUGGGCCUCUGAGAGCCAAAUAACCAGGAUGUUUGCUCGAUUUUACCCUGAGAAACCCAAGUCCCUAGCGAUUAAAUUUGCUGAUAAGAUUAUAGAAUCUGGUGGGAAGAAAAGUAUUGCUCAGUUGCAAGGACAUUUUAUGAUGUUUAAGAAUGAUCCUGAAGGAGCGGUGCUGAAUGCUGAUAAGAUGUGAGCUCUGAUAAAUAUAGUUGAGACCUUAAAAACACAGGCACAAAACAAGACAUCAUGAGAAUGAUCCUGACGGUGCAGUGCUGAAUGCUGAUAAAAUCCGGACGGGCACAAGUGCCCUACUAAUCGGGGAGACAAAAAGUGCUACUUCCACGAAGAAAAGUGAUGGAUAUCAUGGAUAUAUUGAUAACAUUACAGCAGUUACCUUGAAAAUCGUCUUCUUCAUCAUCAACAUCUUCAAGUUUAGGAAUUUGAUCGGUUUCGUCAUCUGAAAUUUUAAAAGUGAGUUUCCAAGCACAGAAGGCCGAAGCGAUCAGGAGGAGGAGAAGAAAUUGAAACCUCAUCAUGGACCAACAGGGCAACUGGGCGAACGAACAGAAGGGUGCAGGUUUGAUCUACUCACGCCUGUACACAAGUCAGAGCAGAACUGGAGGCAGACUGUAAGCUAUAACCAAUUAUAACCACUUGUCACGCCCGGAAAUCUAUUUCUAAACAUAAGAAUGACAUUAAUUAAUAUUAAAAUAACUGACGUCAAUCAUGUUUUUGAUUAAAUAAAUAUGCGGGCGUUUGGAAUUGAGUCGAUCAGCAAUGCACAGUAAAACUAUACAAAAUUUAUUUGUAAACACUUUCUCAGAAAGACUAGACCCUGGUUCCAGGAUAAGCUGGGUACCUGGAGGACCUGGAGGACCUGGUUUCAAAAUGUAUUGAGGAUUUAGUUGGUUGAGCUUCCCAAAAUACUGAUAAAGUAUUUCGUGACGUCUCGAAGUAAUGAUAAACCAGACCCUGGUUGAGACGGUUUACUAGUAUCAGAGUCUCUAAGGAGAAGUAAAAAUAAGUUGCAAAAUUUCGAACGAAAGCGUUCAAAGCCGUUUGUAGGCAGAGCAUUUAUGCCAUACUCAUCAAAAUCAUCGAAUAACUUAAUCUGGAACUCCAAUUCCAGUUCCGGGUCCUGCGUUUUGGCAUACGUAAUUAGCAAGACAUGCAAUUUCGCACGGCUCGCUUUAAAAUCAAAAUGCUUCAUUUAAAACGUAAAUACAGGCUAAUAUUUGCUCAAAACCUCUCUCAUCAUUGCUUAAUUAUUUUUUAAUGAAUCGCCAUUUUUUUGAAGAAAAAUGAGAGAGAUUAUAAGGCUUCGAACGGCAAAGAUCAAACCCUGGAAUGUGCGUAGAAAAUUAUUUAUUUUGCUUCUUAAAUCAAAUAGAAUCUUAAAAAUUGCUAUGUACCUCAUGUUCCUUUGUGAGUAGACUUUGAAGUCAAAACAGUUAAUAUAAAUACAUAAAUAUAGGCUAUAAGAAUAUCUAUAUUGUCAAGUUCCAUUUCAAGAGAAUACGACGAGUCAAGUUGAAUUAAUUUGUUUACUAUGGCUUAUCUUGAAACCUUGUUCUCCUUAUCGAUCUUCGCUUGUUCGUGCAGAAAAUACUAAUCGAGUAGAUGAAUUAAUAUGAAGAGUUAACCAAAAUAAGCUAUUGCUCAUAAAGUUCAUUUCUUCAGUAAUUAGUUUCAGACCGGAAGUAUUACUCUCAUGGAACUUGCCGGAUAGGAUAGCCUGUGAAGCCUGGCUCUUUGAAAAGGUGAGGGGGACUAAGCCUCUCGACUUGGACGAAGAACAAAAGAAAAAAACUGUACGCGUUGCAUUUUAAGACUCGUACGGCGGAGCCUAGGCACGAGUAAAAACGAGGAAACCUAAAAGAGGCAGUCGACAUUCUAUUUUAGUUUUCUUCAUGGGAAAGUCAGACAAUGAGUAAUGUUUAGGAGUUCUAUUGUUAGAUUUCUUCAUGGGAAAAAAUGAACUCAUAAAUGGUUGGCACCUAAAGAUAUGAUAUAGAUUGCUUAUUGUAUAAAUAUAAGAAAUCUCCAUAAAAAAGAACCUCGAAGUA